AGUGAACGCUGGCGGUAGGCCUAACACAUGCAAGUCGAACGGCAGCACAGUAAGAGCUUGCUCUUACGGGUGGCGAGUGGCGGACGGGUGAGGAAUACAUCGGAAUCUACUUUUUCGUGGGGGAUAACGUAGGGAAACUUACGCUAAUACCGCAUACGACCUACGGGUGAAAGCAGGGGAUCUUCGGACCUUGCGCGAUUGUAUGAGCCGAUGUCGGAUUAGCUAGUUGGCGGGGUAAAGGCCCACCAAGGCGACGAUCCGUAGCUGGUCUGAGAGGAUGAUCAGCCACACUGGAACUGAGACACGGUCCAGACUCCUACGGGAGGCAGCAGUGGGGAAUAUUGGACAAUGGGCGCAAGCCUGAUCCAGCCAUACCGCGUGGGUGAAGAAGGCCUUCGGGUUGUAAAGCCCUUUUGUUGGGGAAGAAAAGCAGCAGGUUAAUACCCCGCUGUUCUGACGGUACCCAAAGAAUAAGCACCGGCUAACUUCGUG
rnacentral:rRNA from 1 species